AUUCAGGUGACGAGUCCCAAAUAGGACGAAACGCGCGUUCUGGAU
rnacentral:hammerhead_ribozyme from 1 species